UGAAAGGCGAAAAGAUGCGAUCGGUGCUGUUUGACCUUCCACUGCUCACAAAUGAUAUAUCCAUCUCUGGUGUGUAAGGCUCAUAUUUGUUAAGUGAACUUCUACCUCUAGUGAAUGGAGACCUGUCCCAAUUUGUUAUCAGAUGCUGCUGUAAAAGGAGACCCGUAAAGUUUCUGUGAGCAAUGGCGAUAAAAUCCAAAUGUAGUGGAAUUGUAGCAUGAGUCUACAGAAGCAAACCUGUGGAUAUUCGGGUAUGCCUGUUACCGUGAGGUGUAUCAGCUGGAGCAAGAUUGCUAGGCCUGUGUUGCAACAUGAUUUGGGGGGAAGAAUUAGGAGGGGAAUGCCUUGCCGGUAUUUGAGCAGUAGCAGAUCGUUGAGAAGAAACCUUUGCUUUGUUGAUGAUAUAUACAUUGCAGAACUCUGGUGCAGAUUUUGACACAGUGCUUGGAACAUCUGUGCUCUUGAAUUUUCUGGGGACAGAAAGGAUAUAAUUAGUAUCUGCAUAUAAAUAAGGUGCUGUAGAACUGAGGCGUGGCAUUGGAUUAUAUUCAGAUAGAAAUUUCAUAAAUGGGGUACCUGGCAAUUAUGCCUCCCCUUGUUGGCGUACCAAGUAUCAAGUUUUCAAUUAAAUGUGUAGAGACAUAUUCUAAUAUUGCUUUAGGUAUAUCAACAUCCUCAAUUACGAUCUCAUGACACUUGAUCUGCAUGAAAGGUAAAUGAUGAGGUAAAGAGACAUGUCAAUUACAGGAUUUGCAAAGAACAAGGUUAAGUUGUUACAAUACAAGAAGAAGAGAAUAUGAAUGAACAUAGGAGAAGAACAAGACUUACAUCCUUUCGAGUGCAGAAGCAGCGAAAUGGAAGGAAUAAAUCCCUGACUUCAGAUUCAAGGUUUUUGCUAUAUGUCCUUGUAAUCUCCUCAUUACCAUCUGCGCUGCCAGGAAAGCUUCCGCCUCCAGCUGCAAGAAUUAAAGGAAAAAAAAUUGGAUUCUUUUGGUUACCAAUCACCCACCUCACUGAAAUUAUUCAUGUGUAUCUGAUGAACCAUCAUUAACAAAAUCACAUUGUUUUAUAUUUGCAUUUAAAUACAUGUUGAUGAUGAUCGAAAAAGGA